rnacentral:rRNA from 1 species
UACAGAGGUCUCAAGCGUUGUUCGGAUUCAUUGGGCGUAAAGGGCGCGCAGGCGGCCGCAUUUGUCAGGCGUGAAAGCCCCGGGCUUAACCUGGGAACUGCGUUUGAUACGGUGUGGCUAGAGUUCGGGAGAGGAGAGUGGAAUUCCCAGUGUAGAGGUGAAAUGCGUAGAUAUCGGAAGGAACACCAGUGGCGAAAGCGGCUCCCUGGUCCAGCACCGACGUUCAGGCACGAAAGCGUGGGGAGCAAACAGG